CGGGACGGGUGAGUAAUGUCUGGGAAACUAGCCUGAUGGAGGGGGGUAACUACUGGAAACGGUAGCUAAUACCGCAUAACGUCGCAAGACCAAAGAGGGGGACCGUUCGGGCCUCUUGCCAUCGGAUGUGCCCAGAUGGGAUUAGCUAGUAGGUGGGGUAACGGCUCACCUAGGCGACGAUCCCUAGCUGGUCUGAGAGGAUGCCAGCCACACUGGAACUGAGACACGGUCCAG
rnacentral:rRNA from 1 species